CCGAGGUUUAGCAUACUCCCAAACCCCUGCUGAACAUACCGUAUAGCGUUGCCUCGGCGCGAUCAGCCCGCGCCCCGUAAAAACGGGAGCGGCCCGCCGCAGGACCCACAAACCCUGAAUUUUAUUGUAACUUCUGAGUUUAAAAAACAAAUAAAUCA
rnacentral:misc_RNA from 1 species